GAACACAGGAGCUGCCAGGUCACAGAGAUGAGAGGUCAGAAUUGGCUCCAGGGCAACGGAAGACCAGUGCAGGAUGAAGUCACAGGGAACAGAAACCGGAGCCACAGAGGACAGGGUAAGUCGCAGAAAGGAGAGACACACAUACAUGGAAAGAGGAGCUUUCUCCAAUCUUAAUGAUUCCCAGCUCUCAGCCUCGUUUCUGCAACCCAGCCUGCAAGCAAACUGUCCUGCUUUGGACCCUGCUGUGUCACUCUCCGCACCAGCCUUUGCCUCUGCUCUUCGCUCUAUGAAGUCCUCCCAGGCUGCACGGAAGGACGACUUUCUCAGGUAAAGAACCGCAGUCAUCGAACUGGAGUCCCAUUGAUUCCCUCCCCCUCGCCGCCCCAAAUCUGGCACCUGCCCAAGGUAUCCUCAGAACCAUUUGGGGUGUCCUUUGGCAUUGGAUAAUAGAAAUAAGAUUUUACCUCUUUCUACCAUAAAUUGUACCACG
rnacentral:lncRNA from 1 species